GAAAAGACACUGUUCAGGUGAAGUAAUCAACCGACUUGAUUCCAACUUAAUCUUCAAAUCGGACCCCACCAAGACCUGACUUACCCUAAAUUUUACUGGGAGGAUUGGCUCAUGCGCCACCUUGUCACAAGGGGGACGUGAAGUGAAAAGAGCACCUUGGCAACAGGAGCUACAUUUGUAUCAGCUUUUAAUUCCCUAGAGAAGCCAGUGUACAACCCUUCCCUUGCCUAAACCCUCAGCACUGCCUGGGGAAAGCCCAGCCUGCAACACCAGUUGUCAGCUCAGCUUCAAAGCCAGAUCUGGACCCUGCCCGCAGCUUACCAAUUAAAGGUACCAUAAUUACUACUUAUCUCUGAGUGCUUUGAAGUUUGCAAGGCUUGCUUAGGGGCCCAAAACCAGACCAAGCUCCUCUGCUUCCUGCCUUUGUGACCCAACGUUCCACCAUUUAAUCUAAUUAAAAAAAAUUUUUUUUAAAACAUUUAUUUAUUUUUGAAAGACAGAGAGAGACAGCACAAGCAGGGGAGGAGCAGAGAGAGAGGGAGACACAGAAUUUAAAGCAGGCUCCAGGCUCGGAGCUGUCAGCACAGAGCCUGACGCGGGGCUCGAACUCAUGGACCGCGAGAUCAUGACCUGAGCUGAAGUCGGCUGUCUAACCAACUGAGCCACCCAGGCGCUCCUAAUCAAUUUUUUAGUGUAAUGAAAUAACUUAUGGCUCAGCUUCACUCUGUUCUCAGCUCCUCAUUUCUUGGCAUGGAUACCGCCACCAGGGAUGGAGCUCCCUUUUCUCUCUGCUACCACAGGUCUUUGAGGCUCAGAGCCUGAACAAUUUAAGCCAGGAAGACAGUUUUCCUAGGGCUUCCUGGUGCAUCAGGAGAAAUGCUUGUCUGCACUGGACAAAAUGAGCCCCAUCCACGUAGCUAGAGUGAAAGGUCGAGGUCAUGACCACGUGACCCAUUCCUAGCUUGUCCAAGGCAUGUAAAAUAAGGACAAGUAUUGACUUGAGCUUUUAAAGACCCCUAAACAGUUUUGAAUGUUUAUGUGCAUCUUUCUAGGAACAGGAUGUGCAAAGAUGUUUACAAGCCAAAGAAGCAAAAACCUGCUCUAGGGCAGUUUUUUUUUUUUUUUUUUUUUUUUUUUUUUUUUUUUUUUUUUUUUAAAUUUUUUUUUUCAACGUUUAUUUAUUUUUGGGACAGAGAGAGACAGAGCAUGAACGGGGGAGGGGCAGAGAGAGAGGGAGACACAGAAUCGGAAACAGGCUCCAGGCUCCGAGCCAUCAGCCCAGAGCCGACGCGGGGCUCGAACUCACGGACUGCGAGAUCGUGACCUGGCUGAAGUCGGACGCUUAACCGACUGCGCCACCCAGGCGCCCCUAUGUUUAUUUUUUGAGAGAGAUGGGAGUGCGAGUGGGGGAGGGUAAAGAGGUGGGGAGACAGAAUCCAAAGCAGGCUCCAGGCUCUGAGCUAUCAGCACACAGUCUAACACAGGGCUUGAAUUUGUGAACUGUGAGAUCAUGACCUGAGCCGAAGUUAGACACUUAGCCAUCCAGGCGCCUCUAUGCCAGAAUUUUUUCAAAAUAAGGCCUUUCUGCCACAGAAUCCCAUGCAGUAACUUUAAAAUGUAGCUAGCUUCCUGGGUUCUGUCUCUGGCCUAUUGAAUCAGAAUCUCUUGGGAUGGAAUCUUAUGCCUGGUAAUGAUGUGCUGAGGAAAACAGUACUUUCUAGCUGCUCUUAAUUUUGCAAAAUGUGUCAGGUCAGAGGAUGACCUAGCCAUAUACAAAGACUCCCAUUUUCUUUGUCCCAAAGGGGCCUGUGCCAUGGCUGAGCUUUUCCUGGGGACCUGAAAUCUUGAAAAUACAGGGGCAUCUCUUGUAGCAUCUGACAGAAGGCCUCUUAGAGGGCUUGUCUGUUGCAUGCAGGGAAAUGACAGUUCACGCAGAAGCCCCCUCACACUGAGAAACUUUGCUCGGGUGUUGGCCAAGUUGGCUGGACCAUAAGCCUUGGCCGCACAGUCAAUAGCUCUGCCCCAGUGCUGCUGCACACCAGGGAUGAUGCUGUGGACAAGGUGCACCCCCCCCCCCCAAUUCAGGACACACACACAGCUCUUCCUCACCAGGGCACAGUGAUAGAAUAAGGUCUGUGGACUCCUGCCUUGGAUUAGUUGGUGCUGGAUCAAGUUGGAACCUGCAUCAGAGGAUUCCCUGUGCUUAGAGCCUCCCACUGCUAUGGCUGGUUGCUUCUCAAAGGUCCAUUGCAUGGAUAGGACUGGUACUGGAGGAGCCUACCGGGAAGUCAGCCACUCUCACUCUAGGCACUAGUAAGACUGAAUUUCCAUGGAGAAAUGCUGGUGCCAGAGGAGCCUGAAGCCCUGGCCUGACUCCUGCUACACGUGGGGCUUGUGGAGAGUAUAGGCGAUGGGACCACUUCAGAGCUGUGGCUGGAGGCCUCGCCACACACUUUGCAGGGAACGGCUACUCUCCUGUGUAAAUUUUCUGGUGGGUAAGCAGCUUGGCGGUCAGAGAAAAAGCGUCUAAUGAAGGAGACUUGUUCUCAUUUGUGUGAGUGCGUGAGUAGUGUAUUCUGCCCACGUGGACCAUCUAGUGCUGGGCGGUGUGAGCCAUCCUUGCCAAAGGCUUUAGGAUAGGUGUGGAGGUGGAAGCUGUUCCUCUGGAGGGGAAACUACUGCUUUAUUUCUAGGAAGAUAAUUGUGAUUCUACUUGUAAGCCUGCUUUCUCUAGGCUUUUACCGCUUGGAAUUCUCCAGAUUCUUGUUCUCAUCUCUUUCAGGAGAAUAGAA
rnacentral:lncRNA from 1 species